UCUUUUCUUUUUUGAGUCAAAGUAAAAGUCACUUGAAAACCAAAGUUACACAGACUCUCAUGUGUAUGGAGCAAGCCUGGACCAUUUUCAGAGACAAAAAAGCUGAUUUUCUAGUUUGCAGUUUUCUUUAUAAACCAAUAUGACAGCUCUCUUAAAAACUAAAGAAGAGAAAAGAGAAAGUCUUUCAUUAUUUUAUGCAAACUCUUCCAAAGGUUGAACUAGAGCUGAAUGUUUUAAUAGAACAAAGCUCUUCAAACUUUUGAGCCUCCAAGAUCUCACUAUGCCAGCCCACGAGUGAAAAAAUGCCGGAGGACAUGGUACUUGUCUCAGAGACAACACACUGUCUACCCUUGCUGUGCCGGCUCUCAGGGAGGAUUAAGACACUUUGAAGUGCAGCAAACUGUUAAGUCAGCAGGUUUCAAAAUAGCCUUGGGAGUUCUUUUCCUGUAACACGUGGGGAGAACCAUGAAGCCAAGCAGCAGACGGAAGAACAAGGUAAUGCGUACACAGAGCGAUGGAGUUUUAAAUGGUUAAGUCAAUAGAUGUAGUGAUUCUAGCUCCU